rnacentral:misc_RNA from 1 species
GUUCCAGAAACAGGUACUAGAAGGAAAGCUAGAAGAUGAGAAGAAAGAACUAGCAAAUGGAUCAGACAAUGCACUGGAUGUCGUGGGUGAUGUGGCCCAGGAAUCCAUUUCAACUUCCCAGUCCAAUGGGGACUUGAAGCAUUCUGAAAAUGGGCCAGUUGCUAAAGCUGGAGAUGCCUCAAGUAAGCCACUUGCCUCAGACAAGCAGAAUGUAGCAGAUGGGAUUCUCAGUGUUUGCUAGAUGUUACCAUUCCCAGUAGUAGGGGAUUUUUUU